GGGGAAUAUUGGACGAUGGGGGAAACCCUGAUCCAGCCAUGCCGCGUGUGUGAUGAAGGCCUUCGGGUUGUAAAGCACUUUCGCACGUGACGAUGAUGACGGUAACGUGAGAAGAAGCCUCGGCUAACUUCGUGCCAGCAGCCGCGGUAAUACGAAGGGGGCAAGCGUUGUUCUUUUUUACUGGGCGUAAAGGGCGCGUAGGCGGUGAACUAAGUCAGGCGUGAAAGCCCUGGGCUCAACCCGGGAAUUGCGUUUGAUACUGGUGCGCUUGAAUCCAGGAGAGGUUGGUGGAAUUCCCAGUGUAGAGGUGAAAUUCGUAGAGAUUGGGAAGAACACCGGUGGCGAAGGCGGCCAACUGGACUGGUAUUGACGCUGAGGCGCGAAAGCGUGGGGAGCAAAC
rnacentral:rRNA from 1 species